GCCGAGGUGGUGAAAUUGGCAGACACGCUGCUUUAAGGGGGCAGUGGGAGAAAUCCCGUGGGGGUUCGAGUCCCUUCCUCGGCACCA
rnacentral:tRNA from 1 species